rnacentral:rRNA from 1 species
GAUGAACGCCAGCGGCAGGCUUAAUACGUGCAAGUCGAGGGAUACAGACAGUUAGCAAUAAUUUUCUGGAAACCGGCAAACGGGUGAGGAACACGUACGAAACUUCCCUUUAUCUGGGGCAUAGCCCGAAGAAAUUCGGAUUAAUACCCCAUAAUAUAGAAAUGUGGCAUCACAAUUCUAUUAAAGCUCCGGCGGAUAAAGAUGGUCGUGCGUCCCAUUAGAUAGUUGGCGGGGUAACGGCCCACCAAGU